GGCUUAGCAGGAGUUGCCGACGCAGACAAAGUCAGAGAAUCUGCGGUCUCUGAGGUCGACAGUAAAAGCUGCAUGUGAGAGUUUGUCCCCAGAAACUGCUGGUGCUGCAGCUUUUCUCUGAACCGUCACCCAUCUACAAUGGAGGGACACCAGGAAGCGGAGCAGACACCCAGGACGAGACUCAACACAGACUAGAAACAAACGCGGACAGGCGAAUGUGGAAAGCAAACAUGAUUAUUCCCCACACAGACUUUUUAUGAUAAAAAUGGCAGCAGCUGUUUUCCCGUAUGCUGGCACUUAAAUAAAACUAAAGUAAAAGAG